GUCUAAAUCUAUCUUUACCAGUGUCACUGUAUCUCUAACAUUACUUGCCAUGUAAAGGAUAUCCAACUUGUUCCCUCAUGCUAUCACCAUAGCAUCUUUGGUAAUUUUCCAAGAGCCACCAACGAAUGUUAUAUCAUACCCCUCAUAUCUAACUGUCCAACUAAAACCAAAUUCCUCUUUAAUCUUGAAACAUAUCUGACGUUCUUAAGCUUCUAUAUUGACUGGUUCGGCAUCUUUGUAUGAACAUCACAUUUCCCCAC
rnacentral:lncRNA from 1 species